rnacentral:rRNA from 1 species
UACAGAGGUCUCAAGCGUUGUUCGGAUUCAUUGGGCGUAAAGGGCGCGUAGGCGGCCCGCUAAGUCGAACGUGAAAUCCCCGAGCUCAACUCGGGAACCGCGUCCGAUACUGGUGGGCUUGAAUCCGGGAGAGGGAUGCGGAAUUCCAGGUGUAGCGGUGAAAUGCGUAGAUAUCUGGAGGAACACCGGUGGCGAAGGCGGCAUCCUAGACCGGCAUUGACGCUGAGGAGCGAAAGUGUGGGGAGCGAACAGG